GAUGAAGAACGCAGCGAAAUGCGAUACGUAAUGUGAAUUGCAGAAUUCAGUGAAUCAUCGAAUCUUUGAACGCACAUUGCGCCCGCCAGUAUUCUGGCGGGCAUGCCUGUUCGAGCGUCAUUUCAACCAUCAAGCCCCGGGCUUGUGUUGGGGACCUGCGGCUGCCGCAGGCCCUGAAAUGCAGUGGCGGGCUCGCUGUCACUCCGAGCGUAGUAGUUACAUCUCGCUCUGGGCGUGCUGCGGGUUCCGGCCGUUAAAAGCCUUAUUUACCCAAGGUUGACCUCGGAUCAGGUAGGAAGACCCGCUGAACUUAAGCAUAUCAAUAAGCGGAGGA
rnacentral:misc_RNA from 1 species